AAUGCAUAUUUUAUAUUUACAUAAAUAAAUAAACAAAUUGCGAUAAUUGACCUAAUGGCUUCCUGUAGUUACGCUUGACUUAUGGGAAGUUAGUCCGACAUUAGACGUUUGCUAAUUUGUUAAUAUUUCCCAGAAAUGAGUCGACAAAAACUUCUGAAAGCUUUCCCGUUUUCUUGGAGAAAAAAAAUCACCAAACUUAUUUUAUUUUCUAGCCUUACCAAAUAACUCGAGUCGAUAUAGCGUGUACCCACCGUUAAGCUAACUUCCGGUCGCAACGUUUAAAACGUAGCCGCACCGUUUUCCUCUGUAAGGUGAAUUUUGUUCACUGUUACACAACAUUAAACGCGAAUACAAAUAUUUAAAGGCUUUGGAAUCAAAGUAAACAUCGCGUUGGGGGUAUUUCUUAUUAUUUAUGUGAUCUUGGACGCCUGAAACCGACGCCCAGUCAUCGUUUCAUCUGCGAAAAUGAUGGAUGGAUACUUGCCAUGCAGAUGCUGACAUCUUUGGAGAUGAUUGAUUCACCCCGUCUGGCCAGAGAGGAGUGGAGAGGAGAGCAGAGCUGGAUCCUCCCCGGGGUUGCAGCUUCCUGCCGCCCUGCCAUGGCUCCGCCACAGUGUAACUUCACCGGCGAUGGAGCCCCCCGGCCCUCCCCCUCAUCAGUCCCCCGUCUCUUGUCUGCUGCAAGCUGCUGCAAUCAGCACAGGCCCUGAUUGGACUUGGGCAGGACAGAUUGGGAAGCCGUGAUGGCGGCACAGAAGUUGAGGGAGAAGCUAUUUAUCCCAGACGGAUCAGGAGGUGUGUGACGGAGGUGUGGACGGUUGCUGCAGGUCAGUGACGUUGGCAGGCGCCAGGCAGGCCGGCCCACAUGGCUCGGGGACUGUGGGACUACAGACAGAUGGCACCUGGUGGGUGACAAACAAUUAACAAACCAACAAGAAUAGCUGGAUCGGCAGUAUACCCACAAGCACAGGAGAUAGCAAGAGAGCGGGUGCAUCUGUGCUCCGAACACUUUUACUCUUUACUUUUCCUCUUCCCAAGUCUUGUUUUGUGUAACAGUUGCAAUUUACCCAUGUGUCUUUUUCACAAAAACAGUCUUGUUGUCGUGUCGCUA